rnacentral:rRNA from 1 species
UACAUAGGGUGCAAGCGUUGUCCGGAAUUAUUGGGCGUAAAGAGCUCGUAGGUGGUUCGUCACGUCGGAUGUGAAACUCUGGGGCUUAACCCCAGACCUGCAUUCGAUACGGGCGAGCUUGAGUAUGGUAGGGGAGUCUGGAAUUCCUGGUGUAGCGGUGGAAUGCGCAGAUAUCAGGAGGAACACCAAUGGCGAAGGCAGGACUCUGGGCCAUUACUGACACUGAGGAGCGAAAGCGUGGGGAG